CCUACGGGAGGCAGCAGUGAGGAAUCUUGGACAAUGGCCGUAAGGCUGAACCAGCCAAGCCGCGUGAAGGAAGAAGGACCUAUGGUUUGUAAACUUCUUUUAUAGGGGAAUAAAGGUAUCCACGUGUGGAUAUUCGCAUCUACCCUAUGAAUAAGCAUCGGCUAACUCCGUGCCAGCAGCCCCGGUAAUACGUAGGGGGCAAGCGUUAUCUGGAUUUGUUGGGUGUAAAGGGAGCGUAGACGGUGAUGCAAGUCAGAUGUGAAAGCCCGGGGCUCAACGCGGGGAGUGAUUUGGAAACUGGGGGACUGGAGUGCAGAAGAGGUGAGCGGAAUUCCAGGUGUAGCGGUGAAAUGCGUAGAUAUAUGGAGGAACACCAGUGGCGAAAGCGGCUCACUGGUCUGUAACUGACGUUGAGGUUCGAAAGCGUGGGUAGCAAACAGGAUUAGAUACCCCAGUAGUC
rnacentral:rRNA from 1 species